ACAAUGAAGAGUUUGAUCCUGGCUCAGGAUGAACGCUAGCUACAGGCUUAACACAUGCAAGUCGAGGGGCAGCAUUUUAGUUUGCUUGCAAACUGAAGAUGGCGACCGGCGCACGGGUGAGUAACACGUAUCCAACCUGCCGAUAACUCCGGGAUAGCCUUUCGAAAGAAAGAUUAAUACCGGAUGGCAUACGAAUAUCGCAUGAUAUUUUUAUUAAAGAAUUUCGGUUAUCGAUGGGGAUGCGUUCCAUUAGUUUGUUGGCGGGGUAACUACCACCAAGACUACGAUGGAUAGGGGUUCUGAGAGGAAGGCCCCCCACAUUGGAACUGAGACACGGUCAAACUCCUACGGGAGGCAGCAGUGAGGAAUAUUGGUCAAUGGGCGCGAGCCUGAACCAGCCAAGUAGCGUGAAGGAUGAAGGCUCUAUGGGUCGUAAACUUCUUUUAUAUGGGAAUAAAGUUUUCCACGUGUGGAAUUUUGUAUGUACCAUAUGAAUAAGGAUCGGCUAACUCCGUGCCAGCAGCCGCGGUAAUACGGAGGAUCCGAGCGUUAUCCGGAUUUAUUGGGUUUAAAGGGAGCGUAGGUGGAUUGUUAAGUCAGUUGUGAAAGUUUGCGGCUCAACCGUAAAAUUGCAGUUGAAACUGGCAGUCUUGAGUACAGUAGAGGUGGGCGGAAUUCGUGGUGUAGCGGUGAAAUGCUUAGAUAUCACGAAGAACUCCGAUUGCAGAAGGCAGCUCACUAGACUGUCACUGACACUGAUGCUCGAAAGUGUGGGUAUCAAACAGGAUUAGAUACCCUGGUAGUCCACACAGUAAACGAUGAAUACUCGCUGUUUGCGAUAUACAGUAAGCGGCCAAGCGAAAGCAUUAAGUAUUCCACCUGGGGAGUACGCCGGCAACGGUGAAACUCAAAGGAAUUGGAAUUGACGCCGCACAAGCGGAGGAACAUGUGGUUUAAUUCGAUGAUACGCGAGGAACCUUACCCGGGCUUAAAUUGCAACAGAAUAUAUUGGAAACAGUAUAGCCGUAAGGCUGUUGUGAAGGUGCUGCAUGGUUGUCGUCAGCUCGUGCCGUGAGGUGUCGGCUUAAGUGCCAUAACGAGCGCAACCCUUAUCUUUAGUUACUAACAGGUUAUGCUGAGGACUCUAGAGAGACUGCCGUCGUAAGAUGUGAGGAAGGUGGGGAUGACGUCAAAUCAGCACGGCCUUACGUCCGGGGCUACACACGUGUUACAAUGGGGGGUACAGAAGGCGGCUACCUGGUGACAGGAUGCUAAUCCCAAAAACCUCUCUCAGUUCGGAUCGAAGUCUGCAACCCGACUUCGUGAAGCUGGAUUCGCUAGUAAUCGCGCAUCAGCCAUGGCGCGGUGAAUACGUUCCCGAGGCCUUGUACACACCGCCCGUCAAGCCAUGAAAGCCGGGGGUACCUGAAGUACGUAACCGCAAGGAGCGUCCUAGGGUAAAACUGGUAAUUGGGGCUAAGUCGUAACAAGGUAGCCGUACCGGAAGGUGCGGCUGGAACACCUCCUUU
rnacentral:rRNA from 1 species